UUUUGAUAAAGUUUGGUACAGAGAUAGAGUUGACCUUGAGAAAGAACAUAGGAUAGUUUUUAUCCCGGACUUUUGAAGAAUUCUCUUGGAAACGCGAUAUAACCGAAGUCUACGCGGGCGAAUCCGCGGGCGGAAGCUAGUUCCCUAUAUAUAUUUGUAUAAAUCUGUGUGUACGUUCGGCCACCCUAACUUUGAGAAAUAUGAACUUUUACUGUGAAUUUACACGUUUAAUUUUCAAAGUAAACAGUGCUUUUGAGUAAAACGGAUGCUUAUGUUGUCAGUAAAAUAGGACUUUGAAGACUUAAGGAAAAAAGAUAAAAAUAAUAGCGCAGGCGAAUAAAACCACGACACUAGUGUACUAAAAAAGUAUAUAAAUAAUCGCUUUAUCUAAUAACAGUUCAGUAACCAUUUAUACUUCAGCCGAGCUCAAGUGAUCAUUUAAAAUGAAGCUCCUAUGUUUAUUGUUUGUCCUAUUGGCAGCUCUGAGCACCAUUGCCCUGGCUAAGCCAGUUGUGCCUUUCAAACCGGCGGAGUGUCCUCCAGGAUAUAGGUUGGGUUCUAAUGGAAUAUGUAAGCACAUUUUUAGUAGGUAGCAGAAAUGAGAGAAGAAAGUGUCUAGAUAUCAGCACAAACAUGGACUCAUAAUUAUUCUUACACAACGAUUUUAAAUGUAUCUCUUGGUAAAAUAACUAUGAAGAACUUUCAAUAUGCAUAGCAAUGUAAAUAUACUGUAUGUCGUAGCA